CCUACGGGAGGCAGCAGUGGGGAAUAUUGCACAAUGGGGGAAACCCUGAUGCAGCGACGCCGCGUGAGUGAAGAAGUAUUUCGGUAUGUAAAGCUCUAUCAGCAGGGAAGAAAAUGACGGUACCUGAUUAAGAAGCCCCGGCUAACUACGUGCCAGCAGCCGCGGUAAUACGUAGGGGGCAAGCGUUAUCCGGAUUUACUGGGUGUAAGGGGAGCGUAGACGGCAGCACAAGUCUGUAGUGAAAUGCCGGGGCUUAACCCCGGAACUGCUUUGGAAACUGUGCAGCUAGAGUGCAGGAGAGGUAAGUGGAAUUCCUAGUGUAGCGGUGAAAUGCGUAGAUAUUAGGAGGAACACCAGUGGCGAAGGCGGCUUACUGGACUGUAACUGACGUUGAGGCUCGAAAGCGUGGGGAGCAAACAGGAUUAGAUACCGAGUAGUC
rnacentral:rRNA from 1 species